UUUUAUAUUCCAGAAGCCGUGAAAGCUCGGUGCAUCUUUAUUUUUUUUAAUAAUUCGUGCUUCUGAUUGCAGGUUAUGCUACCAGAGCAGCUGAGUUCAAUUAUCGCCAAGCUUAAACGAUGGGAGUAGGGUAGGCCAUAAAACCCUUGAUGAUGGUAAACGCAUACGCUACCUUAUAAAGACGGGAGAGAUUAUUGACAGUGGAAGAGAGUGGCUAAAGAAAAGGAGAAACCAACAGAAUUAGCUACUGCCUCUUAGGAGACCAGGUUCUGUAUUAUCCGUUCGAUCUAUCCCCAGCUAUGUAACAACUAACAAUCUAGAUCUACAAUUUGUACUCCUCAAUUUAUUCUUUUAACUUACAUUCAAAGAACACACUUUUUGCUCCUUUCCUAAUUUUAAUAUGAGGGAUUCUUUAGCGUGUGGUAACCUCUCGAUGUGAAUGGCUACAUCUCUUUCAGUAAUUUCUCAAAUAUCAUGCAGUGAAGAUGCUGUUAGUCAAUUAAGUAAGUCACAAAAGGUUAAACAUAGGUUUUGCAUAAGAAGCAGCAGUUUAAGAUGAUCAUUGAACUAAUUUACCUUAAAAAAAUAUGCAUUGGUGUAUGCUGCUGCCUAGUCACAGUGUAGUAUUUGGAGAUUUUCAGCUAGGUUUGUUGGGAGGUGUUCUUCUACUCUCUUUUCUCUUAGGUGCAUGAUUGAAGAUUUGGCUUCUUUUUAGCUAGCAAGAUUUUAUAUAGGUGUUAUGCAGGUUUUGUAGUAUAAUUCUUACAAAAAUGCACAUAGUGGAAUUCAAUCUUAUAAAAAUGUUUUAAGAUUUUGUACCUAUUCAAAGAACUAUUAACUCAUAGUUAUAAAACAGAAAUGUUUUGUGGAUGAUGCUUAGUCAGGGGCUGCUCUAAUAAAUAUAUGUAACUUGAUAGUAGCAUGAAUAGACUAACUAUGACAUGAACAGGGAUCCACGACUUGCAUCGUGGUUGUAGUAGCUCACUCAGCUCACGAACCAUGCUCGUCUCACCCCAUCGUGAACAAAUUUACCUACAGUAGAUGCUGGUAACUGUUUCAUUGUGCCACUUAAAAAUCAUGUCAUAAGGUCCAAGAUAUUGCAGAUUGAUUUAGUCUACCCAAACUCCAGUUUCACAAACAGAUUAAACCAUUAACUGUCAUUAUUAUUCAUCUUCUCUUUUUUUUCCUGGAUUGCAGAGUGCAUCAGAUGACAAAGGCCAUUAGAAGAAGGCUUUUCUGUCAAUUUUUGGUGUUGAAUUUUUCAAUAGACAAAAACUUCUUGAGAGAGAAGUGUAGCAGGUUGACACCCUGUGAAGAGUCCAAAUCACCAUUUAUGCCAUUCACAUUCAAAUAUGCUUAUUUCAAAUUUUCUUAACCAAAUAUACAUAGUUAUGAUCUACCUCUCCAUUUAUAGCCCAUGUUUUAAUAUUGCUUUGCAGAAGAAUUGAUUCUCCUCAACCAAUGAAAUUUACCAGGCUACAAUUACAGUGUUACUAUAUACAGCUAAGAAACAUGUGACACACUUGGUGGGUAAGAAAGCAUGUUCCCCUUAAAGAAAGUUGUGAUAUAGCUCCAAAUGAUAAAAUAAAACUCAGCAUGAAAGUUAGAGGCAUGGAGAAGAGGGCAUCAGAAAAAAGUGAGUUGCACAAACACAAGAAAUCAAAUGGGAAAUGUCGUGACAAAUAUAAAACUGCCAGUACAAUAUGAGCUGCUAUUGUCUCGAUUCUUGUUCUACAUUUUGAACUUACACUAUGAUUCAUUACUGUCAACUAGCCCCCACUUUAUUUAUUGUGCAGAGCAACUUUUAUUUGGAUCGUAUUUUAAACUAAGCAAGUCAAAACAUUCCUCCAUCUUUCACA